rnacentral:rRNA from 1 species
GACGAACGCUGGCGGCGUGCCUAAUACAUGCAAGUUGAGCGCUGAAGGUUGGUACUUGUACCAACUGGAUGAGCAGCGAACGGGUGAGUAACGCGUGGGGAAUCUGCCUUUGAGCGGGGGACAACAUUUGGAAACGAAUGCUAAUACCGCAUAAAAACUUUAAACACAAGUUUUAAGUUUGAAAGAUGCAAUUGCAUCACUCAAAGAUGAUCCCGCGUUGUAUUAGCUAGUUGGUGAGGUAAAGGCUCACCAAGGCGAUGAUACAUAGCCGACCUGAGAGGGUGAUCGGCCACAUUGGGACUGAGACACGGCCCAAACUACUACGGGAGGCAGCAGUAGGGAAUCUUCGGCAAGGGACGAAAGUCUGACCGAGCAACGCCGCGUGAGUGAAGAAGGGUGUCGGAUCGUAAAACUCUGUUGGUAGAGAAGAACGUUGGUGAGAGUGGAAAGCUCAUCAAGUGACGGUAACUACCCAGAAAGGGACGGCUAACUACGUG